CCUCACACAUCUUUACCUGCACAUGAGGAAAAUCACUCCUGUAGAAUGCAGUGGUUCAUCAGAACCUCUGGGGAUGUCCUGUGGAUUCUGUGGAUCCUGUGGGUUGCAGGGUGGGUCCUACCUAGACCAGGCUGAUCCUGGACCAUCCCACAGAUGCUCCAUCAGAUCUGGAUGUGGGGAGUGUGGAACCCAGAUGUUCAGAGGGAGAUGAUGCCACAUCUGGUCCAGCUGAUGGAAGGUCUUGAAGUUCUCUGACUGGCCUGGACUGAAGAUGGUCGUCUCACUGGAUUUAAGGUUCAGAUGCUCAGUAACAAACUCCACCAAUGAGCCAACAGGGAAGCUUUAGGUUUAUUAAAUGUUGCUAUGAAGGUAUCACUGUUUUUCUUUGUGAAUGCAAUGUGCUCCAACUGAAACUUGAAUUAGAACUUAGAAGUAAAUCCUUCCAUCUGAAAGGAUUUAGUUGCAUUAAUAACCUCAUAACAUUCUAAUUUUUCUUCCAGUCUUGGUUGGAAAUAGAAUCUCUGUAUUGAUUCAGGUAAAAACUGAACUUCACAGCAUGUUGAAGCAAAACAACCAGAUGAAAACUGUGAUGGUGUUGGAUUGUCAGACUGUAAUGUUGCAGCUCAAAGCAGCUUUUCUAGCUCAGUUCAUUGUGACAUUCAGCUAUGAAUCAACACAGCAGAUGGUGAUCCAUGCUGUGGAAGUCUCACAUCUCCUGAUUUAAUGGAGCUGCUUUGCACUUUUUACACUGUUUAUUCACCAACACUUUAUUUAAUAAAAGUCUCAUCUAGUUUUUAUGAGGAAUGUGAUGUUUUAAUUUCUCUGUGAAUAACUGCAGUCUAAUGCAACAGCUGGAGUUGUAACAUCUGUCCUGAUAUUGAUCAUGAAGUAUUGAUCAGAAUACUUAUGGUCAGCAGUCAUCCCUGAAGUUUUACAUUAAAAUCUUUACUUGUGUUGUGAACUUUGGUAAGAAGCAGAAACAUUAGCGUUGCCAUGGAUACAUGAGUGUUAAAUUCUGUCCAUGUUUCCAUUUUGGGAAAUUCAGUCCAGUUCCAGAAUGUGGAGGAAUUUAGUUUCAAUCACAGACAACAAAUAUUAUCUGAAAGUCGGGUUAUUGUUGUUUAUCAGCACAAUACAAAAAGAUUAAUGUUAGAAAUAUUCCAGUUAAGACUCUAGAAUAUCAUGAUUUAUGUAAAUUUACCUCAAUAAUAUGAAUGUUCAGGUUAAGAUUGUACAGUGAUAUUUAUUAUGUAAGUUUAUCUUAUUAAAGUUUAUGACUGCACUAAAAUAUUAUUUAAAUUGACAUCAUUAUUAUAAUAUUUAGGGUCAGACCCUACAGUAUUGAGAUAAAGAAAUCAAAUAUUCUAUAAAAUGUAAAUACACUGAACUCAUCUGGAUAUAUUUUAGUGAGACGCUACAAUAUUAUUUGACACAAAUCUAUCUAAAUCAAAAUUUUAAUCAUUUUCACGCCAAACAUUUACUGAACUGAUUUAAAUAUUAAAAUCGCUCCUUUCUAAUCCUCUGCUGUACGUUCAAACCUGAGGCCUUAAAUAGAAACACACAAGUAUCUGAUUGAAGGAACUUCUGCAGAGUCCUGGUUCCAGAACAUGAUGAUAGAAUUAUAGACAAACUUUAUCAAAAGCUGCCUGAGAGUUUACAGGUUUUUAUGUUAAAUUUCUUCAGUAAUUUAAUGAGAGUUAUCAGCAAAAAUCAAGUGUUCAUUUGAUGAACUUCAUUUCCUAAAACAUCCAGAAUUGGAGCUCAUAUCUUUGGCAGCUGUAAAGUUUCUGCUCCUUCAAAGUUCACAACACAAUGAAUGAAUUCCUAAAAAACUCUCAAUGCUGAAGCAGUGACCAGUUUUUCAGUUUCUUCUCUGGAGAUGCACAAUGAGGGACGUCUGCAGAGACUGAGAAAGAGUCUCACCACAUCCUGACAUGAGGAAAAAGACUUUAUUGAAGACUACAAUGAGAAAAACUAUCAGACAGCAGACGGCAUGCAUUCAAGGUGAGCUCUGAACAUUUGAUCUGGAACAGGAAUUCAAUAACGGCAGCAUGAGCUUCAUUUCAGUCUGUAGCUGCUGAAUUCAUGGAUAAAUCAUCUGGCACUAGAGAGGAAGACCAUCAAACAUCCAUGUCAGCUGAUGGAGGUCCAAGAGUCUCACCGAACAACCAACCUACAGAGUGAAGACCUCGAAUCUGAUUGGACGGCCUCCUAUUCAGCCACAUGUGUGAACAAAUACCUCUAAGUUGAUUUGUUUUCUAAAAUAAAUCUAGUUUGAGUCCUAAUCUAUGCCUGUGUGUUUGCUUCUUUACACUGCUGUUAACAGUUUAGGCUGUUAGAUUGUUCCAGAUAAGACAAGUAAAAGAUUCUUCAGAGCCGUUCUACCACGAGCCUGACAGGAAGAACUCCAACAGCUACUGAAUGUUCCUGUGGUUCCCUCAAGGCUACAGGAGGAGCCCUACGAGGACGAGCCGGUCCACCUGAUGGUGGCCAGUCGCUGCGGUUCAAAGCCAACACCGACUACGUGGACUUCUACUGGACCACACGGAGGCCU